rnacentral:rRNA from 1 species
GUGGGGAAUUUUGGACAAUGGGGGCAACCCUGAUCCAGCCAUGCCGCGUGCGGGAAGAAGGCCUUCGGGUUGUAAACCGCUUUUGUCAGGGAAGAAAUCCUUUGGGUUAAUACCUCGGAGGGAUGACGGUACCUGAAGAAUAAGCACCGGCUAACUACGUGCCAGCAGCCGCGGUAAUACGUAGGGUGCGAGCGUUAAUCGGAAUUACUGGGCGUAAAGCGUGCGCAGGCGGUUUUGUAAGAUCGAUGUGAAAUCCCCGGGCUCAACCUGGGAACUGCAUGGGUGACUGCAAGGCUGGAGUGCGGCAGAGGGGGAUGGAAUUCCGCGUGUAGCAGUGAAAUGCGUAGAUAUGCGGAGGAACACCGAUGGCGAAGGCAAUCCCCUGGGCCUGCACUGACGCUCAUGCACGAAAGCGUGGGGAGCAAACAGGAUUAGAAACCCGUGUAGUCC